rnacentral:tRNA from 1 species
AGGAUUAUAGUUUAAUUUUUAAAACAUUUGAUUUGCAUUCAAAAAAUAUUAAAUAUUUAAUUUAUCUUA